rnacentral:rRNA from 1 species
CCUACGGGAGGCAGCAGUGAGGAAUAUUGGUCAAUGGGCGGAAGCCUGAACCAGCCAAGUCGCGUGAGGGAAGAAGGCCCUGCGGGUCGCAGACCUCUUUGGACGGGGAGCAAGGCCGCCGACGUGUCGGCGGAAGGAGAGUACCCGUAGAACAAGCAUCGGCUAACUCCGUGCCAGCAGCCGCGGUAAUACGGAGGAUGCGAGCGUUAUCCGGAUUUAUUGGGUUUAAAGGGUGCGCAGGCGGACCAUCAAGUCAGCGGUAAAAUCGUGGGGCCCAACCCCAUCCCGCCGUUGAAACUGGCGGG